CCUACGGGUGGCAGCAGUGGGGAAUAUUGCGCAAUGGGCGAAAGCCUGACGCAGCGACGCCGCGUGAGGGAUGAAGGCCUUCGGAUUGUAAACCUCUUUUAGCAGGGAAGAACGGUCACUGUGUUAAUCAGCAGUGACUUGACGGUACCUGCAAAGUAAGCACCGGCUAAAGCCGUGCCAGCAGCCGCGGUAAUACGGAGGGUGCGAGCGUGAAUCGGAAUUACUGGGCGUAAAGCGCCCGUAGGCGGUAUGUCAAGUCAAGGGUGAAAUCCCCGCGCUCAACGGUGGAACUGCGUUGGAAACUGGCAAACUGGAGUGUGGGAGGGGAUAGUGGAAUUCCAGGUGUAGGAGUGAAAUCCGGAGAUAUCUGGAGGAACAUCAGUGGCGAAGGCGACUAUCUGGCACAUAACUGACGCUGAGGAGCGAAAGCGUGGGUAGCAAACAGGAUUAGAUACCCGGGUAGUC
rnacentral:rRNA from 1 species